rnacentral:rRNA from 1 species
AACGAACGCUGGCGGCAUGCCUAACACAUGCAAGUCGAACGAGACCUUCGGGUCUAGUGGCGCACGGGUGCGUAACGCGGGGGAACCUGCCCUUAGGUUCGGAAUAACUCCCCGAAAGGGGUGCUAAUACCGGAUAAUGUCUUCGGACCAAAGAUUUAUCGCCUUUGGAUGGGCCCGCGUUGGAUUCGCUAGUUGGUAGGGUAAAAGCCUACCAAGGCGACGAUCCAUAGCUGGUCUGAGAGGAUGAUCAGCCACACUGGGACUGAGACACGGCCCAGACUCCUACGGGAGGCAGCAGUGGGGAAUAUUGGACAAUGGGCGAAAGCCUGGUCCAGCAAUGCCGCGUGAGUGAUGAAGGCCUUAGGGUUGUAAAGCUCUUUUACCCGGGAUGAUAAUGACAGUACCGGGAGAAUAAGCACCGGCUAACUACGUG